rnacentral:rRNA from 1 species
GACGAACGCUGGCGGCGUGCCUAAUACAUGCAAGUCGAACGCAGUGGGGACGGGUGAGUAACACGUGGGUAACCUCCCAUCAGAGGGGAUAACACUUGGAAACAGGUGCUAAACCGAUACUGAUGGAUGGAGCCGCGGUGGAUUAGCUAGUUGGUGAGGUAACGGCCCACCAAGGCCACGAUGCAUAGCCGGCCUUAGAGGGUGAUCAGCCACACUGGGACUGAGACACGGCCCAGACUCCUACGGGAGGCAGCAGUAGGGAAUCUUGGGCAAUGGGCGAAAGUCUGACCGAGCCACGCCGCGUGAGUGAAGAAGGUUUUCGGAUCGUAAAGCUCUGUUGGUAGAGAGGCGGUAUCUAACCAAGAAGCAACGGCUAACUACGUGCCAGCAGCCGCGGUAAUUC